rnacentral:rRNA from 1 species
GCAGUCGAACGAGUUCUCGUUGAUGAUCGGUGCUUGCACCGAGAUUCAACAUGGAACGAGUGGCGGACGGGUGAGUAACACGUGGGUAACCUGCCCUUAAGUGGGGGAUAACAUUUGGAAACAGAUGCUAAUACCGCAUAGAUCCAAGAACCGCAUGGUUCUUGGCUGAAAGAUGGCGUAAGCUAUCGCUUUUGGAUGGACCCGCGGCGUAUUAGCUAGUUGGUGAGGUAAUGGCUCACCAAGGCGAUGAUACGUAGCCGAACUGAGAGGUUGAUCGGCCACAUUGGGACUGAGACACGGCCCAAACUCCUACGGGAGGCAGCAGUAGGGAAUCUUCCACAAUGGACGCAAGUCUGAUGGAGCAACGCCGCGUGAGUGAAGAAGGCUUUCGGGUCGUAAAACUCUGUUGUUGGAGAAGAAUGGUCGGCAGAGUAACUGUUGUCGGCGUGACGGUAUCCAACCAGAAAGCCACGGCUAACUACGUGCCAGCAGCCGCGGUAAUACGUAGGUGGCAAGCGUUAUCCGGAUUUAUUGGGCGUAAAGCGAGCGCAGGCGGUUUUUUAAGUCUGAUGUGAAAGCCCUCGGCUUAACCGAGGAAGCGCAUCGGAAACUGGGAAACUUGAGUGCAGAAGAGGACAGUGGAACUCCAUGUGUAGCGGUGAAAUGCGUAGAUAUAUGGAAGAACACCAGUGGCGAAGGCGGCUGUCUGGUCUGUAACUGACGCUGAGGCCCGAAAGCAUGGGUAGCGAACAGGAUUAGAUACCCUGGUAGUCCAUGCCGUAAACGAUGAAUGCUAGGUGU